rnacentral:rRNA from 1 species
UUAAGCGACUAAGCGUACACGGUGGAUGCCCUGGCAGUCAGAGGCGAUGAAGGACGUGCUAAUCUGCGAUAAGCGUCGGUAAGGUGAUAUGAACCGUUAUAACCGGCGAUUUCCGAAUGGGGAAACCCAGUGUGAUUCGUCACACUAUCAUUAACUGAAUCCAUAGGUUAAUGAGGCGAACCGGGGGAACUGAAACAUCUAAGUACCCCGAGGAAAAGAAAUCAACCGAGAUUCCCCCAGUAGCGGCGAGCGAACGGGGAGCAGCCCAGAGCCUGAAUCAGUGUGUGUGUUAGUGGAAGCGUCUGGAAAGGCGCGCGAUACAGGGUGACAGCCCCGUACACAAAAAUGCACAUACUGUGAGCUCGAUGAGUAGGGCGGGACACGUGGUAUCCUGUCUGAAUAUGGGGGGACCAUCCUCCAAGGCUAAAUACUCCUGACUGACCGAUAGUGAACCAGUACCGUGAGGGAAAGGCGAAAAGAACCCCGGCGAGGGGAGUGAAAAAGAACCUGAAACCGUGUACGUACAAGCAGUGGGAGCACAGAGCAAUCUGUGUGACUGCGUACCUUUUGUAUAAUGGGUCAGCGACUUAUAUUCUGUAGCAAGGUUAACCGAAUAGGGGAGCCGAAGGGAAACCGAGUCUUAACUGGGCGUUAAGUUGCAGGGUAUAGACCCGAAACCCGGUGAUCUAGCCAUGGGCAGGUUGAAGGUUGGGUAACACUAACUGGAGGACCGAACCGACUAAUGUUGAAAAAUUAGCGGAUGACUUGUGGCUGGGGGUGAAAGGCCAAUCAAACCGGGAGAUAGCUGGUUCUCCCCGAAAGCUAUUUAGGUAGCGCCUCGUGAAUUCAUCUCCGGGGUAGAGCACUGUUUCGGCAAGGGGGUCAUCCCGACUUACCAACCCGAUGCAAACUGCGAAUACCGGAGAAUGUUAUCACGGGAGACACACGGCGGGUGCUAACGUCCGUCGUGAAGAGGGAAACAACCCAGACCGCCAGCUAAGGUCCCAAAGUCAUGGUUAAGUGGGAAACGAUGUGGGAAGGCCCAGACAGCCAGGAUGUUGGCUUAGAAGCAGCCAUCAUUUAAAGAAAGCGUAAUAGCUCACUGGUCGAGUCGGCCUGCGCGGAAGAUGUAACGGGGCUAAACCAUGCACCGAAGCUGCGGCAGCGACGCUUAUGCGUUGUUGGGUAGGGGAGCGUUCUGUAAGCCUGCGAAGGUGUGCUGUGAGGCAUGCUGGAGGUAUCAGAAGUGCGAAUGCUGACAUAAGUAACGAUAAAGCGGGUGAAAAGCCCGCUCGCCGGAAGACCAAGGGUUCCUGUCCAACGUUAAUCGGGGCAGGGUGAGUCGACCCCUAAGGCGAGGCCGAAAGGCGUAGUCGAUGGGAAACAGGUUAAUAUUCCUGUACUUGGUGUUACUGCGAAGGGGGGACGGAGAAGGCUAUGUUGGCCGGGCGACGGUUGUCCCGGUUUAAGCGUGUAGGCUGGUUUUCCAGGCAAAUCCGGAAAAUCAAGGCUGAGGCGUGAUGACGAGGCACUACGGUGCUGAAGCAACAAAUGCCCUGCUUCCAGGAAAAGCCUCUAAGCAUCAGGUAACAUCAAAUCGUACCCCAAACCGACACAGGUGGUCAGGUAGAGAAUACCAAGGCGCUUGAGAGAACUCGGGUGAAGGAACUAGGCAAAAUGGUGCCGUAACUUCGGGAGAAGGCACGCUGAUAUGUAGGUGAAGUCCCUCGCGGAUGGAGCUGAAAUCAGUCGAAGAUACCAGCUGGCUGCAACUGUUUAUUAAAAACACAGCACUGUGCAAACACGAAAGUGGACGUAUACGGUGUGACGCCUGCCCGGUGCCGGAAGGUUAAUUGAUGGGGUCAGCGCAAGCGAAGCUCUUGAUCGAAGCCCCGGUAAACGGCGGCCGUAACUAUAACGGUCCUAAGGUAGCGAAAUUCCUUGUCGGGUAAGUUCCGACCUGCACGAAUGGCGUAAUGAUGGCCAGGCUGUCUCCACCCGAGACUCAGUGAAAUUGAACUCGCUGUGAAGAUGCAGUGUACCCGCGGCAAGACGGAAAGACCCCGUGAACCUUUACUAUAGCUUGACACUGAACAUUGAGCCUUGAUGUGUAGGAUAGGUGGGAGGCUUUGAAGUGUGGACGCCAGUCUGCAUGGAGCCGACCUUGAAAUACCACCCUUUAAUGUUUGAUGUUCUAACGUGGACCCGUGAUCCGGGUUGCGGACAGUGUCUGGUGGGUAGUUUGACUGGGGCGGUCUCCUCCUAAAGAGUAACGGAGGAGCACGAAGGUUGGCUAAUCCUGGUCGGACAUCAGGAGGUUAGUGCAAUGGCAUAAGCCAGCUUGACUGCGAGCGUGACGGCGCGAGCAGGUGCGAAAGCAGGUCAUAGUGAUCCGGUGGUUCUGAAUGGAAGGGCCAUCGCUCAACGGAUAAAAGGUACUCCGGGGAUAACAGGCUGAUACCGCCCAAGAGUUCAUAUCGACGGCGGUGUUUGGCACCUCGAUGUCGGCUCAUCACAUCCUGGGGCUGAAGUAGGUCCCAAGGGUAUGGCUGUUCGCCAUUUAAAGUGGUACGCGAGCUGGGUUUAGAACGUCGUGAGACAGUUCGGUCCCUAUCUGCCGUGGGCGCUGGAGAAUUGAGGGGGGCUGCUCCUAGUACGAGAGGACCGGAGUGGACGCAUCACUGGUGUUCGGGUUGUCAUGCCAAUGGCACUGCCCGGUAGCUAAAUGCGGAAGAGAUAAGUGCUGAAAGCAUCUAAGCACGAAACUUGCCCCGAGAUGAGUUCUCCCUGACUCCUUGAGAGUCCUGAAGGAACGUUGAAGACGACGACGUUGAUAGGCCGGGUGUGUAAGCGCAGCGAUGCGUUGAGCUAACCGGUACUAAUGAACCGUGAGGCUUAACCUU